UUUGCUUCCUCUGGAAAUAAUUUUGAAAUUGCAAGAUUGGAACAGUCCUCAAUUUCUGAACAUCUGCAGCAGGAUACAAUAGAUAUAGGUUACAAAAGAUGUUUGUAAGUUCCAAAAAUACGUAUCUGAUAUAUUGGUGGAAUGUUCACAUUAAUAUUAAGAACAGGAAAAUAAAAGGCACAUAGCAAUACAUACUAUUGGGUGUUUGUUACCCCCACUUUCAGAUACUGUAGGAAAUAACUACAUUUGAAUAAAUACUUCAGCCUGUUUCCAUGACCCUAUCCCUAAACUGAUACGCUUCAGUAUUAUGAAAUUGGGACUUAGGUCAUUGUAUUGUGAGGUCACAAAGCCAUAUAAGAUAUAGGAGAAAAAAUUGACACUUACUGGGUGGGCAGAGCAACAUUGUUUUGACAGUGAAAUUUACCAAUUUAUAAUUUUUUAAGAAAAGCAUGCCUAGCACAGACCACCUGAUUACCAAGAGGAAGCUGAAGAGGAGAUUCUACUAGAGAGAUGCAAAUGAAUAAUUCUGGUGUUACUGUGGGGAAGAAAAGAAGAACCUGUGUGUGACUCAUACAAGAAAAUCUGUUAUUCAAGAAUAAAUAUCGCAGCAGUAAUAAUAAAGGUCAGCGCUCCCAUCUCACCCGUGGAAGUCAAUGAGAGAUACACACAGGUGGUUGAGGACAGGCUGUUAGUCCUCAGUGAGUGGUGAAUCUUGUUGGUCAAGUGAAUUGCCCUCAUUUUUCUGUUAGAGGUUGUGGACUAUUUUUCUUUACAAGGGAAGCACUUUAUUUAUUUAUUUAUUUAUUCAUUCAUUUACUUAUUUAUUUAUUUUGAGGGUAGAGCGUGUCAUUGAAAGGUACCUGACCCAAAAAGAUAAGUCUAUCUAAUGUGCUUGCUUACUGAAGCACAAACUUAAGCUCUCUCCUCCUAUGAUUAUGAGAGUUCUUGGCCAUUUCUACCCAUCAGCUCACAUUCCUGACAUCAGCAGAAGUUCACUGAUGCUUCAAUGACCUAGACAAGAGCAGUAAUUUUCUGCCCUGUGCAGUCUCUCAAAGGUUAAAAAUUCUAAUUGCUACUAAGGAUUUCCUGCCAAAAGAGAUGUUUAAAAUCCUUAUUGGAAGAUCCACUUCACCGUGCACAGAGGAAGUGUAUUCGUGCACAGAGGAAGUAUUCAUUCAUUCUGUGAAACAUAAACACUCACCCCUCCAGAUUAGCCCGUGGUACAUUUGUUCUUGGGAAGUUCGAUGUGGAUGAAUCUUGUGAGACAGGGAAGCCAUGUAUGCUGUCCUGGGUGUUCUGUCUCAGGACUUUCUUCUGCUGACCAGGGCACUGCUAUUCCAUCAUCUAGCAUGCUGCUACAGCUGCAGAAGGCAGACAGAGAUCUGAUACAUUCAGGGCACCCACAUAUAUGAGGAAAAUGGAUGAAAGAUCAAAGAACACCCUCCCAUCACCACUCUUCCAGCAUCACCAACAUAGGAUGCCAUCUUAUUUGAAUAUCGACUAGGGCUUGUGUAAUUGUAGCUCAUAAAGCAGGAUCUUUUCCAUAGAUACAUAUUUUUCAUAAGGUAUAUUUCUUCAGAAUUUCUAGAUUUGAAUGAUAUAGCUGUGGCUAUUCUGUUAUUAUUAGAAACUUAAUCCAAUCAUUCUUUAUUAAAAAAAGAUUUCCAUAGCAACACAGACACAAAACAAAUUUCCUGGGUAGAUAUUAUAAUUUGUUUCAGAUAAUAUAGAAAUUCUAUUGGAGUCAUUAUUUUAAAAUUACAAUUAUUAUACAGACUUUUUAAUCAUAGCAUUAAUAUUAACAGUUUUAAAAUGAAUUCAUGCCAAAAAUACAAUUUUAUAUCUUUCUAUUAGACAUAAGAGACAACAGACUUGUAUCUACAUAAGUAAAAUUAAAUCAGAUGGUGAUUUUUAAUGAAAUGUGUGUUUUUCUCCUAAUCUUUUUCUUUUGGAGCAGUAGGGCUUUUUGUUUUGUUUUGUUUUUAAUUUUACAAAAUUGACCUAUUAUUACCCCAAGUAUUUUCUUGAUAACUUCUAAUUCCAGAGCAAUUUUGCUGUUCUUUAAAGACAAUUAAUCAGAAUAGAUUUUAACAUUGUACAACACUCUAAACUUGUUUCCAGAGGAAGAAAUAUUCUUUGCAUAUCAAAAAAAUUUUAACCUAAAAUGUGAUUAGCAAAAGCAUGGAUUAAUUGUGUUUCCACUGAUGUAAAGAAAUCUUCAUUGAACAUUCCAGCCGAUCAGCCACUGGAUUAGUGCAUAGGAUAAAUGCAUCCACGGAUGUUAACUGACGUCCUACAUGUUCUCAGUAGAGUGUGUCAGAUUCUGUUGGUAUUUGCUCCACUAAACAUAGGGUUGGGGUUUUUUGAUAAUAAAGUUUGGGGUGAAAGUCUUGAGACAGCCUAAGCUCAUGAGGAAGCAAAAAUGUAAUCUGAUUAGCAGGAUUUGUAUCUAUGCAUGGUAAAUUAUAGAAGAUUGUGGUCUUUCCAUGACUAAUGCCCUAGAAAAGCUUCACAGAUGAAAACUUUGAUCGUUAACACGGAUACUCUUUCAUCUCUAAAACAGCUUAGUAUAUUACCUACCACAACUUUUCAACUUUUUAAUUUCUAGGCAAGUAAAACAUUAAAAUGCAUAUUAACUAAACUUCAAACAGGUUUUUUUUAGAUGUCACCUGAAAAUCUUUUUGGAUUACUCAUUUCCAGUUAUCAUAUCCUAGUCUGCAGGGGCUUAUUAAAGAAGGAUUUAAAUGUAAUAGGCACCAAUGAGUUGGCAGAAAUAGAACACAGAAAACUAGUCACAUGAUCACAGGAUCGUGAAGUCUCUUGAUCCAGAAAUUAUGUAACUGUACUGAACACAAAAUAGCAAACUAUUGUGGCACUUUUAUUAAUUUGAAUAUGAUUCAAAAUUUUUUAAAAAAUUUUUAUAUGUUCAACUAAUAUCUCAAAUAACAUGAAAAUACAUUGUGGUUUUUCUAAUCUUAGGAAUCCACUGAAAUUUCCUCUUAAGAAAAUUUAGAUAUUCAAAACAAUACACUUGAAGAUUUAGCAUUGAUUGUAUCAUAUUCUGUUUUUAGAAUACAAUUAGCUUGAGGUUAAAGUUAAAUAUUAUAACAUUGCAAUUCUCAAAAAGAAAAUGGAGAUGUUUAGAUUUGCAUUACUCACUCUUACUUCAGCACCUCUUUUAUACUUAGUACAUAAAACUCUCCAAAUGUAAUAUAAAAGUUUUAAUUUCAGUUAACAUUUAAAAAUCAAAGUAAUUAUUGUUAUUGCAGAAAAGAAUCUGCAUAUUAUGGUAGUAAUUUUUAAGGUUUUCAACUCCUCAGGACUUUUCAAUGAUUUUGCUGUCAUAGUAUCUGUAUGUGUGUUGGUCUUUCGUAUAUAUUUUUAAAUUGCGUUAAUAUAGACAUUUAUAAGUUAAGCUUUACAAUAGCAAAAAUGAACUAAAUCACCUGUAAGUAUGUCCCUUAUCUAAUUUCUGUGUUUUUGUAUCUGAAAAGAAAAUACCUAGACAGAUGACUAAUUUGCAUAUAUUAAAUAGGAAAUACAGUGGCACUUAAAUUCUGAUUAGACAAUGUGUAUCUUUUUUAUUUUAAUAUGUUUCCACAAUAUAUACUAGAGAAAGCCUGUUUUUAAGUAUGUCCCAGAACUGCUAAGUUCAACCUUAUAGGAUUCUCGUGAGUAUCACUGAAAUAACUACAUGUAAAGUGCUUCAAUUCAGUGCCCAGCAACCAGAGCCCAGUAGGCAUGGCCACUAUUAUUUGUAUUAAAUAUUUUAAUCAACAUAGAUGAAGUGGACAUGAAAAUUAUGUGAUUAAUUUGUUCACUGUAGAACCCAAAAUCAAAUUUAGCAACUGAGAAAAUACUUCAAUUAUUAAUAUUAAAGUCCAGAUGAAUCUGGUAAAAAUCUCCCAAUAAGAUGACAACGUUUGUUUCUAACCAGCAAAUAAGAACAUGGACUCUGAUUUUAGAUCAAGAAAAUGCAGCAUGUAUUCUCAAAAUAAUCACAGAUAAUCUUCUAAGCAGGUAACUCCAAAAUCCCUGAGGAGGCAUUGUGUUCCUUUCUUCACUUGGUCUCCUCUGCAUGCAGUGACAGGGGAGAAAUCAGAUACUGGGCUGGAGGAUCACACCAACUUCAAGCCACCAAGGUCAAGGAGGCAACAUCAGGCACCUUGGAAGCAGAUCAAUCCUUGGCAAAACUGAAUUUCGUUUUAGCUAGAGCACCUUUUUAUCUUUUACCUCAUACUACACCAGUGGGUUCAUAGGCCCCCCCCCUCUUAUUUGCUCAAGACCCUGCUGUCUGCCAAGGCCCCCAGCCAAGAUAAGAAAAGAGGGCCUGUGUCCUACACUCAGCCCCUACUGCUGUUCAUUUUAAACUGCUUUGCAAACCUAUCAGUGCUCUAUAGAAGUUACCUCUCAGAGUCUCCCUUGGAUUGCUUUUCAGCUACCAGUAAAAUAAUUUAUGAUAAGUUCUUCUUUGAUGAGAACAGUUUGCUGUGCUUCCCAGCAUAACUGGUAUUCUGAAGACCUGUGUGGAAUGGGGAAAAGAACAUUAGAACCUAGGGAGUACCACAUGUUCCUGUCAUUGUGAAACUGAUAGACUCUUGGAAGCAAGGGUGUGCCUUUGUUUACCCAGCAAAACCCAGCGCAGGGUCUGGCAAAAUGUAGACAGACUCUCAAUUGGAGUGAGCCUCUUGGGUUCAAGAGUAAGUACUUCUGGUUGAAAGUUUGAAGUAUGAUAUCCUCCAUACUUGCCUUAUUCCCCCUGGACUGGUCUCAGGAUUACCAUGGAAACACACACAUCAAUCAAAGAUCCACAAUGAGUAAAACAACCCCGCCCAGCCACAGAGACUGCCAGUUGACUUGUGGGAGAAGUGAAGGAAUGUUAAAAGUUCUUUUUCUUUUUCUUCUUCUUCCAGAGUGGUGAGAUUUUGAAACUGAAUGGUGCUCAUGUCUGGAGGUGUUUUAUACAUUGUUUUUUUGUUUAGCUCAUUCAUGAAAAAAAAAAAGACAAGCAUUGGAUACAAAAAGUGCAAUAUUGAGUAAAAAUAACAUGCUUGGCUGGUG